UUGGGGUCGGGGCAAUCCCACACGGCCGUGGUGUACACGGAACGGGACGGGAGGAGAUCCCGGCUGGUCAUCUACGGGGGCAUGAGCGGCUGCAGGCUGGGGGAUCUAUGGACACUGGACAUUGAGACGCUGACCUGGAACAAGCCGAGCCUGAGUGGGGUCGCUCCCCUCCCCCGCAGCCUCCACUCGGCCACCACCAUCGGCAACAAGAUGUACGUUUUUGGGGGGUGGGUGCCCCUGGUGAUGGACGACGUCAAAGUGGCCACGCACGAGAAGGA